GAUGAACGCUGGCGGCGUGCCUAAUACAUGCAAGUCGAGCGAACGGACGAGAAGCUUGCUUCUCUGAUGUUAGCGGCGGACGGGUGAGUAACACGUGGAUAACCUACCUAUAAGACUGGGAUAACUUCGGGAAACCGGAGCUAAUACCGGAUAAUAUUUUGAACCGCAUGGUUCAAAAGUGAAAGACGGUCUUGCUGUCACUUAUAGAUGGAUCCGCGCUGCAUUAGCUAGUUGGUAAGGUAACGGCUUACCAAGGCAACGAUGCAUAGCCGACCUGAGAGGGUGAUCGGCCACACUGGAACUGAGACACGGUCCAGACUCCUACGGGAGGCAGCAGUAGGGAAUCUUCCGCAAUGGGCGAAAGCCUUACGGAGCAACGCCGCGUGAGUGAUGAAGGUCUUCGGAUCGUAAAACUCUGUUAUUAGGGAAGAACAUAUGUGUAAGUAACUGUGCACAUCUUGACGGUACCUAAUCAGAAAGCCACGGCUAACUACGUG
rnacentral:rRNA from 1 species